rnacentral:lncRNA from 1 species
UGGAUUGAUUACUGUCCUUCGUGAUGAUCCUUUGAUCGAGAGUAUUUAAAAAUUAACCACUAAUAAUGUAUAUCUCAAAUUCUCAACAUCUUAAGAAUAUAUAAAAUCAUCUUUAUUAAUUUUUAGGAUAAGUCAUGGACACAUAAACAUGAUUGGUUAUUAAGACUAUCCAACAAGUAUAAAACAUGCCUUAGAGAAAAGUAUGUGCCAGCCAAGACUGGCUUCUAGGGCACACAUCCAACAAACUCUCACUUGCACUAAAGCCAAUCUACCAUAUACCU